AGAGGGGACCAGUUAGGGAUCUGCUGCCAGAGUCCAGGCAAGGGAUGAUCGAGGCUUAAACCAAGGGGUGGCAGCAAAAGAGAAAAGUGUAGAGACCCUGACACCAGGAGACAUAAUCUACAGGAAGCAGUGGUUUAUUUCUACAGGAGGGGAAGGAGAGAGGAGGAGGAGAUUCUGGUUUGAGCAAAUGGGAUGAGUGGUGGGGUCAUAAACUGAGGAGCAGGAUUAGGGGACACGGUGAGGAGGCUCAGGCCAGGCAUGUUGCUUGUGAGGUGGCUGGGAGACAUCUGAGGGGCACAACUGCAUACAACCUCAUGGGUGCAGACUGUGCAGUUAAAGAUGGCAGUCCUCUCUCCCGGCCUCAGGCUGCUCUCUGCCAGCCACAUGGGCUUCUCCCCAGGAUGCCGCGGCGCCUCCUUGAAGACAGCCACCGCUCCCUGCACAGCGACACACGGGGGCGGCACCACCUCCACCUCCACCGCAGACUCACUCCAGAGCUCCCGUGCCAUCACCAGCCGGUACCUGAACUUCCGGGCCAGGUCGAUGGGGCCCACUGUUGUCGAUCCCCGCCCGGUUGGGGCGGGCUGCCUGUCCGCGAGGUAAGUGACGACAGAGCCCCGGAAUCACACAGCCGGGUUGAACACACAGUAACCACGCCGGAGACGCAGGCUCGUGGCGCAGGUCUGGUUUACUGGGGAAGUGAUACAGCUUAUAUAGGAGGGGUAAGGGCUUAGGAUGACGUGGCAAUUACAGAGAGGCUAGGGGACUGGGGUAAUUUGAAGCGGCUGUUGAUUGGAGGAGGCAGGUUUGAAGCUGGCGCCCGUGGGUUUUUCUGGCGGGAAGGUGGUGAGGAAGGAGGGCGGUGCUGUUUGCCAUAGCCAUUAGCAUGCUCAGCGGCCAUUUUGGCUAGAUGUUACUUGCUGGCAAGCUCACCAACACCCGCGGCGGUAAUGACUGAGCCGCGCCCAGGAGCCGCAGCACCGCGGUGACCGAGGCUGCGGGGCCCACCGGGGUGCAGUGACCUCCACCCACUGGCUCUGAGCGAGCGCUGUCCUCUGGCUGCGCCUCGUCUCCAGCGGCCGGCCCUGCCGAGCGCUCGCCCCAGGAAGGCUGCUGCAGAGGGUGACGUCCACCUCAACGCCGGGCCUGUCCCCGGGGAACGGGCACAGCAGCUGUGGCGUAAAAAGCCCCACCCGCAAGGUGCCUCCCGCGGCCUGGGAUG
rnacentral:lncRNA from 1 species